UUCUGGUCAGAUGGCGAGCUACUCUUGCUCGCCGUCCGCUGACCCGCACUCUUCCGGUGGCCGGAGAUCGUCCCGCGAUCCCCGACGCCCGGAGUGUCCCUCGCGAUGAGGUCCGUUCCUUCACGCGCCCAGCCUCCUCCGUAGCUAGUAUGACUGUCGCCGAAGUAAGAGACGGCAUCCCAGACCCUCUCGCUUCGCACAAUGGCCUGAACCAAUACCGGACGCGAGAAGUCACCGUCGCCGACCACAUCCCUGAGGACACGACGGUGCUCAGCCCAUACAGGGCACUCCGCCACCGUGUCCUCCGGGCGUUUCCUCGCGCCCAAAUAGGAACUUACCGAAGCUCCCAUGUCCGGUAACCACUUACGUCAGAUGGAAGGUGAGGACGCCGUGGUGGCGCCUCUCUAACUACUCUUCAAAGAGUGGACUUACCGCUGCGAAACAGCGACAGUUGUUGCUGCCAUUCCGUCAUGAGAUCGCGCAGGGCUCGUCCCGCAACGCACUGAUCUGGCAUGGCAGUGAAAUUUUACACCGGCGAUGUGCGUCGGCGCGCAAACUGAAGAUGUGCGCAAGCACCUUUGACUCAAAAUCCCACGGCGGUAAUCCGGCAAAGAGGUUCGCUGCGUCACCCGCGUAUCACCCGGAUGGCCAUGACCCUCUGACAUAGUACCUCUGCGGUGAGCAGCACCCGAGAAAAACUACAUCCUGCAACUACAUUUUGAAAAGUUUUGACACCGUUUCUGUCCCAAUCCUUUUAGACAAGCUUGAACGCGUCGGAAUAGGAGGUACCUCUCAAAAGAUUUUUUUUUAUUUUAUUUUUUUACGUUGACACAACCUCACAACUACUUUACCGCUGUAACUCCUGUUGCCAAGCACCACGGAAAUUUGACUUAAAACUAAGUGGGUCCUAUGUGUGAGCUGUUAUACUUGCUUCCAAUAAUAGUUAUGGCAAAAACGCCUAAGCGCACGGAAAUUUGUUCUAGACUCCACAAGAUAGUUUAUAAAAAGAACAAUAAUUAUGCAAUGAUAAUCUACCAUCUUCUUAAAAUGCCAAACAAUCAUCGCUCUAAAUAAACUUUAUGUGAAACGAAAUUGUGCAAAAUUCAGCUUUGCCAAAAGUAAUUAUGCCAAAUAAAAUUCUACCAUCUUAAAAGUAUGCUUUUGUAAAUUCGGACAUAUAAACAUUCGGCAAAACAAUAAUUAUAUUAAAUGAUUUUUAUGCCAUAUGUAUAUUCGUUUAAAGAAGAUUCUGCCAAGUGUGUUAUGCCAAACAAAUUUCGGAGCAUUAAAAUUCUGCCAGAUAGAGGGAUCCCAUUUGGGUUUGGUAUCGAUCCAGUAACACCCCGUGCUAUUUAUUCUUUCAAUAUUUUAUAAUGUACAGAAUUGACCUUUCUUCAGAUUUAUUAUAAUAUGAAUGAAUGAAUGAAUGAGAGUUUAUAAACGUAAGAGUAGACAAAUAUAAUCAGAAAGCUCCGAACUGCUAAGCUAUCGGGAGUUAUACGUGUUAUUGUGAGACAACCAUAAAAGACAGACAUUUGCUGUCCCGGAAUAUUUUUUAAAUAAUAUUAUUUUAAGGAGAACAUUUCCGUCAUACUUGAUUUCUGUGUAGCUUUAACCAUUAAGGCAGCACAGGCGACGGAAGCUUAAAAAUGGAGUAAGUUCUCCUGUUUUUCCAACAUUUCCAUUUACUGCUCUACUUCUAUUGAUCGUAGCGUGAUAAAGUAUGGUAACCUGCCCAGGAGUAUGAAGAACAAUUGUACCAAGUUUCAUUGAAAUCUGUCGAGUGGUUUUGUUUCUAUAAGGAACAUACAUACAUACAGACAGACAGACAAAAAAAUUCUGAUUGCAUUUUUGGCGGCAGUAUCGAUCACUAAUCACCCGCUGAUAGUUAUUUUGGAAAGUGUAGAUAUAGAUAACCUACUAGUUUAGAAGAGCUGCAUAUCAUCAUAACUUGUUAAAUAGGUACUUACUAGGCAAUAGGCAAAUAGGCAAUUAAAAGCUUCAAAAUAACUUAUUAUAUGUUAUCGGUUUACUCACGUAACUGUUUGGCGAGGAACUCGACUUCAAAAUAACAUUUAAAGUAAGUCUUUAAUCCUCUUAUUUAGGGCGCUAGGAACAAAUAAAUAGCUUUUUCGAUUAAAUGAAAUAACUUUCAAACUAUACAUUAUUUUUGUGUUUUUAUUAAACAACACAAAUUUAAACUAAUUCGUAAGAAGUCAUGUGCGAAAUAUUAUAAGAAUCCACUUAACCGUUUCAGAGAUCCAGCAAAAUCUCGAAUAACUUUGCAACCGAAGAUAGAUCAAGGAUGAAAUAAAGCGGAACAUUUACCUCACAAACGGCACUAAUUGUUUAGGUAGUAUUUAUAUCAAAAUUCCCAUUAAAAAGAAAAAGAUCUGGCUGUGGUAACGUUACCCCAGCAGGAAGUGUUUUCUGAAAUAUCUAAAAAAAAACUGUGCGGCACAAUUACAGAAGCCGGAGCACUAAAAAUCUGUAAGAUUGAAAUGGUCACAUUUGACAACAUCUGGCUCGGAUAACGGACAAAAAUAUUACAAUAUGAAACCCUUUUUUGUAGCGUCUUUCGCAUGUUUAUCUAAAUAAUAUUUUUUCGUAAACAAAGUUGUAUGGUAACGAAAAUUAAAAGAAUCAGGUUCACACAAACACUUCGUAAAACCAAGUUAUUUUAUAACUUUAAUAUUAUGUUAUCUUCUUGCUGGUACGGGACCCUUCAUGUGCGAGUCCAACUCGGUAGCCGGUUUUUUUAUAAAACCAGAGCGUACCUGCUGACAUUUGGUUUAUUGGCAACAGCCAACAACACAAUAUGUAACCUAUAGAGAACAAAUGAAAUUGGUCCGCAACUAGGUAGUGAAGUACUACGUAAAGUACUAUUUAUACGUCUCUUAGUUGUAGGGACUAAAAUAAACCCCGGAAACAACAUUUAAAGUCAUACUUUAACAAUUUAUAAAUAUAUCACAAAUAUGAAUAUGCUAUUCCGAUACUGUUUUAAUUAAUUCGCCCGGUAAAGAGCUGUCGAUGUUAUCGGGAUAAAAUAGCGGACGGUUUUGUUGUUUUGGUCCCAAAUUUAUGUACUAUCUCCGUGCAUCCCAGCCCAGCUCUGCCAAACUAGCAAAAUUCUCCUAUAUAAAUUAAGUUAUAGGAUUACGAGUCACAUAAAAAUCAAGUAGACGCAUUAACUCAGGCCACUGAUCCUAUAAAAGCAUUUGUUAAGAUUAUUUCCACUACAAGUACUAUUGAUCCUAUAAUUUGGGUUUAUAAACAUAAUAUAACUACGACGAGACGAGCUUUGUCGAAGGCUCGCGGUGAAAUCUAAAAUAAAAAACCAACUAUUGAAAAAUUACAUAAUUUUCUGGCGAAUAUCAAAUUAGGUAAGUUGGGUAAACAACAUUGGAGGUAGGAAAAAUAUGCAUCAUCCAACUUUCUGUCAUAAAACUAUCCAUAUAGUAUUCUAUAAAAGUGUCUACAAGAGUGUGAUAUUAAAUUAAACUAUAAAUAAGGAAAGUAGCUUAGGAAAUACAAAGUUAAAAAUUUAAAAGUCUAAUAGGGUCGGUCGUUGGAAACUCUGUGAUGUUCCUUAUUAAAUUGAUAUGACGCUGUAAUAAUAGAAUACUUUUAGUAUACAAGAUUUCUGAAUAAGUAGAUUGUCUACUACCUAAUAAAUAUCUAUUGUAGACUUCACUUUGUUUCUCACUAAAAGGUAAGAAAUGAAAGCCUCAACUAGAUUUACAUGAAUGAAAUAUUAAGUUACAGUCGUCGGAAAUAUCCCAAUUACUUAUGCAGUGGUUCAUUGCACUAUUUGUCCGCUUUCGUCCCAUUGAUUUAUGCGAAAACUACUAAUUACUGUGUUGGACUAAAUUCAUUUUAACAAUAUCAUAGAGAUUUAAGAGAUUUAAUUUGGAAAACUGUUUGCAUAGGUGAGGCCUAACGCUUACACAGUUGGGCCAAGAUUUCCCUAAACAAUUGUAGGUAUUAAUGGAGGCUUACCUAUUUUUCUGGUUUUUCAAACACAGGCACUCUUGUUCAACAAGAUUGCCUGUACUUUGAGGGUAAGUAGAUUCGUUUUUAAACAGCUCUUUAUUUGAGUUUCAAUGGCUUUUUCGAUGACGAAAUAUUAGUUCCAACUUUUAAAAGUAAUAGAAUUUUUCGUACUUUUUUAUGGUUAUAUAGACUACACGUACUUUGGUAUCAGCGGAAAUCUUAACCAAUAUAAAAAAUAUUUUGUGAUAUUCCAAAGGUAUUCACUAUCUUGGGUUCCAAAAUUUCUGUGCACACCCCUGGGUUCCAGUAGGGCUGGCGCUUGAUCCGAAGCUGCGGACUACCUACCGGGGCUCCGGCUUGAAAAAUAGGGGUAAGAACGGGGUGGUUUUUAGUCAGUAAGAGUCUGACACCCAUCGUCUCGCCUAAGGCGAGAGAAGUCCUAGGAUGAUUUUCUCCCAUAAAAAAGGCUCCCUAAAUUAAAGUUGGUAAAACAAAUUAUCAUAAUUAUUUUUGUAAACAGUGUGUAGUGGGCGUAAACGUUAAUAAGUGGGCCUUGCAGACGUACUCAACAUCUCAGACUGUCUAAGCAGCUCUUCAAUAUUUUUAUAUUGAGGAACAUAUUGAUAUUUCGUACUUCUUCAUACUUCAUACUAUUCUUCUCAUAAACAAAUAAAAAAAGCAUAUCAAGCCACCCCAAAACUUUAUUUCUUCACUAGCUUUUGCCCGCGACUUCGUCCGCGUUGUUGUGUUAGUGGUUGGUGGUCAAAAUGCUGCCGUAUGUCAUGUAAAAUCUGAAUUACUUGAGAAUAUGUUACUGUUAGCAUUUUUAAAAAUAUGUAUUUUAUAGAGUCCACGACCGCCCGUUCAUCAUUUUAUAAUCAUGAUGAAAAGUAACCAACCACAAUAUAUCUUAUACUAUCAAUAAAAAAAUACAUUGUUUCGUUGUUAUAUUCCAUAAAAAACUUUCGUGUAAGCGUAACCUCAAGACAAACAGGGUUACUUUCGCAUUAAUAGUAUGGUAGUAGGGAUUUUGGCGAUUAAAAUAAAUAGGUAGGUACGAAUCAAACGCGAGUGAAGCCACAGGUAUUAACAAAAAUGACGAAUUUUCAAGCAAACAUUAAUCUCCUCUAUCAGCCAUUCUACGCCUUCAAUUAACAAUGUGUUGAUCUAAAGUAUUUAAAUACAAAGUUUCACUGUUACAGCUUUAAAAAUGACGAAUUUCUAUAUGAACAUUCAUCCCCCCUUUUUACCCAUUCUCCCCUAUUUUUAGCAAUAAAAGCCUAUGUUGUUCCUCAGGGUCUAUUCUAUCUCUGUAGCAAAUUUCAUCAAAAUCGGUUCUCUGGUUUGGCGUGAAAGCGUAACAGACGGACAGUCAGACAGACAGAGUUACUAUCACAUUUAUAAUAUUAGUAAGGAUUACAAUCAACACAAUAAGCAAACAAUAGAGAACUCCAAGUCUAUUAAAUUAAUUACACGUUGUCUUACAUGGAAACAGAAGUGUACAAGUUCUCGCGCCCUCAGUCUUACUAGCCAUUUCGCGUGAAACGGUCGUGAGCUCUCAAAAACUGCUCCCGUCAACGCGUAACGCGUAAGACACCGACGUCAUCAAUUGUCCACUAAGUUCCUGCUCAAAAGAAAAUGUGUGACACGCUACCGGCAAGAGCAACGCUGGCUAACGGACUGGUGCUCCGUCGGUCUCGACCGGCUCGGUCGUGCUCAAUGCCGGAGCAGCGCACUUGUCGCUCGCUCAGCCGCGGCAGCCGUGGCAGCGGCAGACAAAGAUACAACAGUAUGCCGCCGGUGCGAGCUGCUCGAUCAUGUGUAAGUUUCACAUUAUGGUACUGUAAUGACCUCACACUCACCACGACAAUUUGAGCUACGCAAUCUACAUUUGUUUUUCAGUCCAAGUUUUUUUACGCUUUAAUCGUCUCGUCUUGCACUUUAAAUUGUAGUUUGUGUAGAAAAAUCAUGCCUUUUUUAAUUUUAUUGUUGGAGUUACGUAUGUACAUCGCGUCCACUUAGAUACUUUUAUAAUGCAAGUAUGUGUUGUGUGUCGUUGUUAUGUUUUUGUGUGGCAUUAAUUUUAUAUUUAUAGUAUAAGAUUGUCGUUGUACAAACAAAUGGAUAGUUUGUGUUACAUAUCGCGAUUGGAAAAUUUCGCUGAGCUCCAUAUUGAAUGAUCGAAUUGUUGUCCUGUCCAUCGCUAAUGUGAUUUAUUCUAUAAAUAUUAGAUAAAAGUCAGUUCAUACUAGCGCAGAGUCCAAUCGCAUCGAAGCGUCUUUCCAGAACUGAACAUAACAAAUUCAACCUUAACUCCACGUUACUUCUGAGAUUUUAAAAAUGCGCGCGCAUUCAUCAGGCUUCUCUUCUGCGCGUGAACAACGCCGAUUGGUGCGCGCGCAUUCUCGCGUGUCCAUGCGCCCACUAGCGUCAUCAGUUGGAAAUUGGCCUGCGUCGGUGUUGAUCACAAUGGACUAUCGCGCGAAUUCCAACGAAUGCGCGCGUAUUCGCUGGAAUUCACUUUGGUAGUAAAGAAUUUGACGCUUAGAUGCGCUUCGACUCUGCACUAAUAUAAAUCGAACCAAAAUUUUCUGAGUUCUAAUCUUCAAAAUGUUUAUUCGUAUCCGAAAUAUUUUGCUAAUACAAUUGUCUGAAUCUCGCCUCAAGGUCAGUUGUCUUGUAAUAAACUCAUUUAACUACUACAGGCGCCCCGCCCCGGCUUUGCAUGGGUGCAAUGGUGAUAUAUUAUGCCUGCAUUAUACAUAUAAACCUUCCUCUUGAAUCACUCUACCUAUUACAAAAAACCGCAUCAAAAUCCGUUGCGUAAUUUUAAAGAUUUAAGCAUACCUACAGACAAACAGGCAAAAAUAGCGACUUUGUUUUAUACUAUGUAGUGAAGAUGUAUAGUUUCUUGUAUCCAGUUCGUCGAUGCAAAAUUCUGUGAUGCUCUAAGUUUGA